rnacentral:rRNA from 1 species
GAUGAACGCUGGCGGCGCGCCUAAUACAUGCAAGUCGAGCGAACAGACGAGGAGCUUGCUCCUCUGACGUUAGCGGCGGACGGGUGAGUAACACGUGGAUAACCUACCUAUAAGACUGGGAUAACUUCGGGAAACCGGAGCUAAUACCGGAUAAUAUAUUGAACCGCAUGGUUCAAUAGUGAAAGACGGUUUUGCUGUCACUUAUAGAUGGAUCCGCGCCGCAUUAGCUAGUUGGUAAGGUAACGGCUUACCAAGGCAACGAUGCGUAGCCGACCUGAGAGGGUGAUCGGCCACACUGGAACUGAGACACGGUCCAGACUCCUACGGGAGGCAGCAGUAGGGAAUCUUCCGCAAUGGGCGAAAGCCUGACGGAGCAACGCCGCGUGAGUGAUGAAGGUCUUCGGAUCGUAAAACUCUGUUAUUAGGGAAGAACAAAUGUGUAAGUAACUAUGCACGUCUUGACGGUACCUAAUCAGAAAGCCACGGCUAACUACGUG